CUUAGUCAUUGAUUAAUUCAACGCUUCGUGUAGGUCUUACUCUUCUUUACUUGUGCAUUGAUGCUUCAUCUUCUGUCCCAACGAUUCUUAGUAUUACAUAGCGCAAGUGACUUAAAGGUAUUCAUCUAAGGUUUGAAGACACUACUGAGAAGAAAAUAUUAGGAGAUGCUUCUUGUUCUGAUUCAUUUAACUCAAAGGAAGCAGAUUUGGAGUGCAAUUAUUUAACAAGAAUCAGUUGUUUGGGGGAGGCUAUGUUGCUUAGACUGGUGUGAUUCAUACUAAUCAUCACUCAUUGUAGGACAGGAAGAAUUCUAGUGUUCAACACAAGACAUAACUGUAGAUAACCGAUUUUGUUCCUGCUGCUUAUCUCAUAUUUUUCUCUGUAUAUACUCAUUUUGAGUAAGAUAAGAUAAAAAGGCUAUAUUGCUAUAGUGAGAUAUCAUUUAUUUAAUCUUUGGGGCCAAGAUCGAAGGAAAUGGUAAACCUUUGAACCCUCCGGAUUUUGUAAGUAACAUGUAAAGCAAAGUUGUUAUAGAAUAUAGGUAGAAUCAAAGAAUGUCUUGUUAUGUAUUAUAUAUUAUUGCAAGUGUUCCACUUACCCUUAAGA